rnacentral:tRNA from 1 species
UGCUUGUGGUAUAUGUUGAGAGUACGAGGAUUGAAAUCCCUCUCGCUCACAGCGCAGUAAGAGGUGCAAGGGGGCGCUUCCCUGUCAAGCUU